rnacentral:rRNA from 1 species
GAUGAACGCUGGCGGCGUGCUUAACACAUGCAAGUCGAACGGAAAGGCUCCUGCUUGCAGGGGUACUCGAGUGGCGAACGGGUGAGUAACACGUGGGUGAUCUGCCCUGCACUUCGGGAUAAGCCUGGGAAACUGGGUCUAAUACCGGAUAGGACGAUGGUUUGGAUGCCAUUGUGGAAAGUUUUUUCGGUGUGGGAUGAGCUCGCGGCCUAUCAGCUUGUUGGUGGGGUAAUGGCCUACCAAGGCGUCGACGGGUAGCCGGCCUGAGAGGGUGUACGGCCACAUUGGGACUGAGAUACGGCCCAGACUCCUACGGGAGGCAGAAGUGGGGAAUAUUGCACAAUGGGCGCAAGCCUGAUGCAGCGACGCCGCGUGGGGGAUGACGGCCUUCGGGUUGUAAACUCCUUUCGCUAGGGACGAAGCGCAAGUGACGGUACCUGGAGAAGAAGCACCGGCUAACUACAUG